rnacentral:rRNA from 1 species
CGGUCGUACUCCCCAGGCGGUGUGUUUAUCGGUUUCCUGCGACACUGAAAAUAAAUUUCCAACGUCUAACACACAUCGUUUACGGCAUGGACUACGAGGGUAUCUAAUCCUCUUCGCUACCCAUGCUUUCGUUCCUCAGUGUCAGUAAUGAUCCAGAAAGCUGCCUUCGCAGUUGGUAUUCUUUCUAAUAUCUACGAAUUUCACCUCUACACUAGAAAUUCUGCUUUCCUCUAUCAUACUCUAGCUGAAAAGUUUUGAUGGCAGUUCCAGAGUUAAGCUCUGGGAUUUCACCACCAACUUUUUCAACCACCUACGAACUCUUUAAGCCCAGUAAUUCCGAACUACGCUAGGUCCCUUCGUAUUACCGCGGCUGCUGGCACGAAGUUAGCCGGACCUUCUUAUUCGGGUACAGUCAUUUUCUUCCCCGACGAAAGAGCUUUACAACCCAAAGGCCUUCUUCACUCACGCGGCAUCGCUGCAUCAGAGUUUCCUCCAUUGUGCAAGAUUCCCCACUGCUGCCUCCCGUAGGAGUUUGGGCCGUGUCUCAGUCCCAAUGUGGCUGAUCAUCCUCUCAAAUCAGCUAUUGAUCAUAGUCUUGGUAGGCCAUUACCCUACCAACAAACUAAUCAAGUGCGGGCUCAUCCAAUGGUGCAUAAAGCUUUCUCCGUAAAGACUUAUCCGGUAUUAGCACAAGUUUCCUCGUGUUAUUCCAGGCCAAAGGGUAGAUACCCACAUGUUACUCACCCGUCUGCCACUAAGCAUUGCUACUUCGUUCGACUUGCAUGUGUUAGGCGUGCCGCCAGCGUACGUUCUGAGCCAGGAUCAAACUCU